ACGUAAAUUUUUGUAUGAAUUUUUACUUAUUUUAAUAAUGAGUGAAUUUUAUUAUAACCACAGUAAUUAGUAUUAUUAAUUAAAGAAAUUUAGAAAUAGUAAUAUUAUUAAGUAUUGGCUAAAUUUGUGCCAGCAGCCGCGGUUAUACUAAUGAUGCAAACAAAUUAUUUUCGGUAUGAGUUAAAUUUUUUUUGUUGAGAUGAAUUUUAAUUUAUUAGGUGAAAUUUUAAAUUAAUAUAUUCUUUUGUUAAAAAAAUUGAGGCUUGUAAAUUUUAAUUAAAAACUAGGAUUAGAUACCCUAUUAUUUAAAAUGUAAAGUUUUAAACCAAGGUAGUAUUAGUUAUGUUCUUGAAACUUAAAAAAUUUGGCGGUAUCUUAGUCUAUUCAGAGGAACCUGUUCUUUAAUCGAUAAUCCACGAUGGACCUUACUUGAAUUUGUUUUCAGUUUAUAUACCGUCGUUAUCAGAAUAUUUUAUUAGAAUAAUAAUUUUCUAGAUUUUUUAUAAAAAUUUAUAUCAGAUCAAGGUGUAGCUUAUAUUUAAGUAGUAAUGGGUUACAAUAAAUUUAUUUAAACGGAGUUAAAUUUGAAAUGUUUUAUGAAGGUGGAUUUGAUAGUAAAAUUAUAAAGAUUAAUAAUUUGAUUUUAGCUCUAAGAUAUGCACACAUCGCCCGUCGCUCUUAUUAUUAAGGUAAGAUAAGUCGUAACAUAGUAGAUGUACUGGAAAGUGUAUCUAGAAUG
rnacentral:ncRNA from 1 species